AGCGGUAAGGCCCCUUCGGGGGUACACGAGCGGCGAACGGGUGAGUAACACGUGAGUAACCUGCCCCAUUCUUCGGAAUAACCAGUGGAAACGCUGGCUAAUGCCGAAUAUGACCAUCGAAGGCAUCUUCUGGUGGUGGAAAGCUCCGGCGGAGUGGGAUGGACUCGCGGCCUAUCAGCUUGUUGGUGAGGUAACGGCUCACCAAGGCGACGACGGGUAGCCGGCCUGAGAGGGUGACCGGCCACACUGGGACUGAGACACGGCCCAGACUCCUACGGGAGGCAGCAGUGGGGAAUAUUGGACAAUGGGCGAAAGCCUGAUCCAGCAACGCCGCGUGAGGGAUGACGGCCUUCGGGUUGUAAACCUCUUUCAGCAGGGACGAAGCGAAAGUGACGGUACCUGCAGAAGAAGGACCGGCCAACUACGUGCCAGCAGCCGCGGUAAUACGUAGGGUCCGAGCGUUGUCCGGAAUUAUUGGGCGUAAAGGGCUCGUAGGCGGUUUGUCGCGUCGGGAGUGAAAACUCAGGGCUCAACCCUGAGCGUGCUUACGAUACGGGCAAACUAGAGGUAUGCAGGGGAGAACGGAAUUCCUGGUGUAGCGGUGGAAUGCGCAGAUAUCAGGAGGAACACCGGUGGCGAAGGCGGUUCUCUGGGCAUUACCUGACGCUGAGGAGCGAAAGCAUGGGGAGCGAACAGGAUUAGAUACCCUGGUAGUCCAUGCCGUAAACGUUGGGCGCUAGGUGUGGGGACCUUCCACGGUUUCCGUGCCGCAGCUAACGCAUUAAGC
rnacentral:rRNA from 1 species